rnacentral:lncRNA from 1 species
UCACCCACAUGAUACCUCGACGAGAAUCUCUGGUCCAGGUGAAAGAACGACAAAACCCACUCCCACUCCAACAGGAGAUACCAACAUGAUAGUGCUGGGAGUUCUGAUACCUUUUGUUGUUAUUGCCCUUCUGGGAGUACUUGGAUUUCUGUAUUGGAGACGAAAAAAGAGAGAGUCGAACCAAAUCACACGAGACAGUGAAGCAAGUACACCAAUGACGUAAUGCAUACCUACUCUCGUGCUCAAUAAGUAUGCCUCUCCAGUGAUCUCAAAUGAUGGAAGUGGAACCUAAAGUGAUCUGAACGUGACGAAAGAAGAGCAAUUAGAUAUUCUAAUUUGUCUGCGUUAUUUAAAGGUUACAUCCUCUUGAUGUUUUCUUAAUGGGAUUAGCAUCUGGAAUGUCUUUCAUAUAUCAUGCCCCCAUGGUGUAAUGUUUACAGCUGGUCUUUAGCUGGUGAGUGUAGGACUUGUUAACUAAAUCAUCUUUUUUAGUAUGAAUGUAACAGCCAAAUGCCAAGUAAUGUUACUGUUUCCCACUUGCAUUUUGGCCAAGGCGGGUAACCCAUUUGGUGAAAGGCCAUUAUUGUCUGUGGACAUCCUGUUUUCUUUUCAGCCAGUCAUGGACUCCUUUAUCAAUCAAAUGUUUAUUUUCUGAGUCACGUGUAAUUGCAUGUGAAAAAGGUCUUCCAUCCGCAUGUUAAUUUCUGGUUUCAUGGCAUUGGUAUGAAUGUAACAGCCAAAUGCCAAGUAAUGUUACUGUUUGUGAAAAGGUGAAAAGGUCUUUCAUCUGCAGAUUAAUUUCUGGUUUCAUGGCAUUGGUAUGAAUGUAACAGCCAAAUGCCAAGUAAUGUUACUGUUUGUGAAAAGGUGAAAAGGUCUUUCAUCUGCAGAUUAAUUUCUGGUUUCAUGGCAUUGGUAUGAAUGUAACAGCCAAAUGCCAAGUAAUGUUACUGUUUGUGAAAAGGUGAAAAGGUCUUUCAUCUGCAGAUUAAUUUCUGGUUUCAUGGCAUUGGUAUGAAUGUAACAGCCAAAUGCCAAGUAAUGUUACUGUUUGUGAAAAGGUGAAAAGGUCUUUCAUCUGCAGAUUAAUUUCUGGUUUCAUGGCAUUGGUAUGAAUGUAACAGCCAAAUGCCAAGUAAUGUUACUGUUUGUGAAAAGGUGAAAAGGUCUUUCAUCUGCAGAUUAAUUUCUGGUUUCAUGGCAUUGGUAUGAAUGUAACAGCCAAAUGCCAAGUAAUGUUACUGUUUGUGAAAGGGUGAAAAGGUCUUUCAUCUGCAGAUUAAUUUCUGGUUUCAUGGCAUUGGUAUGAAUGUAACAGCCAAAUGCCAAGUAAUGUUACUGUUUGUGAAAAGGUGAAAAGGUCUUUCAUCUGCAGAUUAAUUUCUGGUUUCAUGGCAUUGGUAUGAAUGUAACAGCCAAAUGCCAAGUAAUGUUACUGUUUGUGAAAAGGUGAAAAGGUCUUUCAUCUGCAGAUUAAUUUCUGGUUUCAUGGCAUUGGUAUGAAUGUAACAGCCAAAUGCCAAGUAAUGUUACUGUUUGUGAAAAGGUGAAAAGGUCUUUCAUCUGCAGAUUAAUUUCUGGUUUCAUGGCAUUGGUAUGAAUGUAACAGCCAAAUGCCAAGUAAUGUUACUGUUUGUGAAAAGGUGAAAAGGUCUUUCAUCUGCAGAUUAAUUUCUGGUUUCAUGGCAUUGGUAUGAAUGUAACAGCCAAAUGCCAAGUAAUGUUACUGUUUGUGAAAAGGUGAAAAGGUCUUUCAUCUGCAGAUUAAUUUCUGGUUUCAUGGCAUUGGUAUGAAUGUAACAGCCAAAUGCCAAGUAAUGUUACUGUUUGUGAAAAGGUGAAAAGGUCUUUCAUCUGCAGAUUAAUUUCUGGUUUCAUGGCAUUGGUAUGAAUGUAACAGCCAAAUGCCAAGUAAUGUUACUGUUUGUGAAAAGGUGAAAAGGUCUUUCAUCUGCAGAUUAAUUUCUGGUUUCAUGGCAUUGGUAUGAAUGUAACAGCCAAAUGCCAAGUAAUGUUACUGUUUGUGAAAAGGUGAAAAGGUCUUUCAUCUGCAGAUUAAUUUCUGGUUUCAUGGCAUUGGUAUGAAUGUAACAGCCAAAUGCCAAGUAUUGUGCUGUUUCCCACUUGCAUUUUGGCCAAGGCGGGUAACCCAUUUGGUGAAAGUCCAUUAUUGUCUGUGGACAUCCUGUUUUCUUUUCAGCCAGUCAUGGACUCCUUUAUCAAUCAAAUGUUUAUUUUCUGAGUCACGUGUAAUUGCAUGUGAAAAAGGUCUUCCAUCCGCAUGUUAAUUUCUGGUUCCAUGGCAUCAAGCCACAUUCACCGGAUUCUAGAAAGGAUCUCUUGACUUUCAGAUCAUAUUUUGUAGGACUGUCGUUGAAAUAUUGAGUAAAGCCUUUUGCUGUCCAGUUGACAUGAUGACACACAAGCACGAAGCCUAACCACCCUGUCAAUCUAAGUCGCCUCUGAGGACAAGUAUGUGCUACUGGGGACCAAGUCUACCUCAAUCCCUACGGUGGUAUUUUCAUUUCAGACUAGAUCCUGAUGCAUGUGUUUUCAGGUCUUUAUUUUGCAUCUAUAUGUAUCUAAAUACUCAACAAUUUUGCGACGAGUGAAGAUUCCUGGGUAGAAUAGGUCUUCAGCAACCCAUGCUUGCCAUAAAAGGCAACUAUGCUUGUCGUAAGAGGCGACUAAUGGGAUCGGGUGGUCAGGCUCGCUGACUUGGUUCAAGCAUGUCAUCGUACCCUCAGACCUCCUUCAUGUAGCUUGAUUAUUGCUGAGUGCCGCGUUAAACAACAAUCAAAACAUUCUCAACCACACCCUCCGAGUCGUUUUAUAUCGACAAAGUUAUUCCUGGUAAGGUGUAUUUAGUUUUUAGUUACUUGAAGGCUCCUUCAUGAUGAUAGUUAUCAACUAUUUUUAUGAGUCACAUCUAAGACUUUUAAUAAACUGAUAUAUGUAUAAAUAAAUCAAAACUAUUUUUCUGCAAAUAAUUUCAAUAAUACGAAAAUAUGCCCCCUUUUAUUAGCAACAAAAAUAUGUGUUUACAACUGAAAGCAAUAGAAAUAUACCUCAUGCAAACUGUUGACAGUACAAGUACAAUUGCAUCAAGGAUUCUACCGGUAGUAUCAAUACAUAGUUUAAUAUGCUCUCUGUGUGUGUGAAAUGUUUUAAGCACCUUUAGUAAAAUCUAAAUAUAUUUUACAUUUCUAUAUUAAUCCUGCAUUACUCCUUGAUGCAUUUACUGCUGUUUUUUGACAGAAAGACAAACUGUGAGAGGUCCAGCUACUGAAAUGAGUUGUUCCAACCAGCUGACUGGCAGUACCCUCACAAAGUAGGCAUGUGACCCGGAUGAUGUCACAUAAAGCUUUAUUGUUUCCAGCAUCCUUUGCUUGUUUAUUACACCAUUGUUUUCUCAUAUGAUGUUCAUGGUUUGUGCCUUUUAUGGUGUUCCCAUACGUAUAUUAUACCGUUUUCUUACUAGUUUGUGGCUUUAGUCAUGGUAAUAUUACAGGCGUAUUGUUGUUCCAUCCGCCAGUUUGAAUUUGCCACAUUGCCACGAUUUCGUGUCUUGCGUUCUGAAUUCUUUUGUUUGGCUUGGGUAAUCCAUUAUUAUGUUUACCUAGUUUUUUGUGUCUAGACUGUACAGGACCCUGUACAUCAUUGUCACCAUGUCGCCAUUGCAGUCCUUUGUCACCAUCAACAUUCUCGCACUACCUGAAAGUAGUCAGGAAACGUCAGACGCAAUGUGCUCUUAGACACCCCAGGACGGCUGACACCACGGAGACACCUUCCCAUCAUCGAGAUUAACGCCCUGUUGCUGUCUCCAACUCUGCCCUUGCUGUAACCCAUGCCAACGAUAUCGUCCUCAUCAUUGGCUUCCGACUCUUCCGAUGACGAAAACUCGGCCCUGGCGUCAGCGCUUCUCCUCUCGUCAACGGCGACAGCAUCUCCUCCUUCAAUCAUAUGUCCCGACGCAGCUCCACGUCAUUUCGAUCUCGUCGUUACUCCCGUAGCCACUCGCCCGUACAUCAUCGAGAUUGUGACUGUUGUUCAGAUUGAUUGGAGGGAUCCCUCGAAACCAAAUGCUUUUUUGGUCCGAAUCAACUUACUGACUGAAUGGCUGAUUUCUUGGCCUCUGUUGCACCGUGUCCGAGCCCAGACGUUGAUAAGGGAACGUGAAUUCUGGGCUCUAUUGUAGUGCCACCAGUGGCUAUUACAAAUUAUGUCCUUUCUAUGCCCCUCCUAUUGAGCAAUCAGAUUCCACCUAUCAUAUCACUUGCAUUUGCUUCUAAUAAAAUGGCAGUGCCCAGUCAAGACUAUCUGAUCGAUAAUGAAGAUCAAUAUUGAAAUAAGAUCUACCCAAGGGAAGUGCAUCAAAUCACUUGA